rnacentral:rRNA from 1 species
UACGUAGGGUGCAAGCGUUGUCCGGAAUUAUUGGGCGUAAAGAGCUCGUAGGCGGCUUGUCGCGUCGGCUGUGAAAACCUGGGGCUCAACCCCGGGCCUGCAGCCGAUACGGGCAGACUGGAGUUCGGCAGGGGAGACUGGAAUUCCUGGUGUAGCGGUGAAAUGCGCAGAUAUCAGGAGGAACACCGGUGGCGAAGGCAGGUCUCUGGGCAUUAACUGACGCUGAGGAGCGAAAGCAUGGGGAGCGAACAGG